rnacentral:rRNA from 1 species
UGGGGAAUAUUGGACAAUGGGGGCAACCCUGAUCCAGCCAUGCCGCGUGUGUGAAGAAGGCCUUUUGGUUGUAAAGCACUUUAAGCAGUGAAGAAGACUCCAUGGUUAAUACCCAUGGACGAUGACAUUAGCUGCAGAAUAAGCACCGGCUAACUCUGUGCCAGCAGCCGCGGUAAUACAGAGGGUGCAAGCGUUAAUCGGAAUUACUGGGCGUAAAGCGAGCGUAGGUGGCUUGAUAAGUCAGAUGUGAAAGCCCCGGGCUUAACCUGGGAACGGCAUCUGAUACUGUUAGGCUAGAGUAGGUGAGAGGAAGGUAGAAUUCCAGGUGUAGCGGUGAAAUGCGUAGAGAUCUGGAGGAAUACCGAUGGAGAAGGCAGCCUUCUGGCAUCAUACUGACACUGAGGUUCGAAAGCGUGGGUAGCAAACA